rnacentral:rRNA from 1 species
GACGAACGCUGGCGGCGUGCUUAACACAUGCAAGUCGAACGGAAAGGCCCCUUUGGGGGUACUCGAGUGGCGAACGGGUGAGUAACACGUUAGUAACCUGCCCUUGUCUUCGGGAUAACUUCAGGAAACUGGGGCUAAUACCGGAUAGGAAUCCUUGCUGCAUGGUGGGGGUUGGAAAGCUUCGGCGGUUUUGGAUGGACUCGCGGCUUAUCAGCUUGUUUGUGGGGUUGUGGCUUACCAAGGCUUUUACGGGUAGCCGGACUGAGAGGGCGACCGGCCAAAUUGGGACUGAGAGACGGCAAAGACUCCUACGGGAGGAAGAAGUGGGGAAUAUUGAAAAAUGGGCGGAAGCCUGAUGAAGCAACGCCGCGUGCGGGAUGACGGCCUUCGGGUUGUAAACCGCUUUCAGAAGGGGAGAAGCUUGUGGUGACGGUACCUGCAGAAGAAGCACCGGCUAACUACGUG